UGAAAGCGAAGGUUAUGUAAGUUUCAGGCAAAAGUUCUAAGUGGACGUUGUCAGGGAGGACGGGUCUUAUUUGACUCCACACUAGCUGUUCCCUGAUGUUAUGUCACCAGUGAUACGUCACACUUUGAUUGGGGGGACCCGUUAAAGCCCAUGGCCAGCGAAUUUAGUUCAUCAACCACCAAAAACUUCUGGUGUGCAGCCGCCAUCAGAGCCACGCGCCGCAUGUCACCAGGCACAGGUAUACACCCACUUCCCCACAAACCUCCACUUCCCAAUCCAGGACACUGGUGGUGGCAGCUGUACCAGUAAACAACGAGGGAGAAGACAGAAAUGGCCAGGAGAUGCAGACACAGAAGGAGACCUCAGAAAACACAGGCACAGACUAGUCCAUUCUCACCCUGCAAGGAUGGGGCGGUAACAGGGAUGGAGACAGAGGGAAUGUCGGCCGGGCCCAGAGCAACGAGAGCACAUGCCGCACCUGUGACUCUGAAAGAAGCGAUCUGAUUGGUUGCUAUGGGCAACUCAGUAACUUUUACUCUGGACAUGUUUUGAUACAUCUCCCCCACUGUACUAGGACACUAGAAAAAUAGGUAUUCAAUCAGUCUGGCUUCAACUAGAACGCUGGCUCCACGUGGCGCAG